rnacentral:rRNA from 1 species
GUGGGGAAUAUUGCGCAAUGGGGGAAACCCUGACGCAGCGACGCCGUGUGAGGGAAGAAGGCUUUCGGGUCGUAAACCUCUGUCAGGAAGGAAGAACCUCUCAAGGCUGAACAAGCCUUGGGACUGACGGUACUUCCAGAGGAAGCACCGGCUAACUCCGUGCCAGCAGCCGCGGUAAUACGGAGGGUGCAAGCGUUAAUCGGAAUUACUGGGCGUAAAGCGUGCGAAGGCCGCUUUGUAAGUCGGACGUGAAAGCCCUCGGCUCAACCGGGGAACUGCGUUGGAUACUGCGAGGCUUGAGUCCUGGAGAGGGUGGCGGAAUUCCGGGUGUAGGAGUGAAAUCCGUAGAUAUCCGGAGGAACACCGGUGGCGAAGGCGGCCACCUGGACAGGUACUGACGCUGAGGCGCGAAAGCGUGGGGAGCAAACAGGAUUAGAAACCCUAGUAGUCC